UAAGCGGAGGAAAAGAAACUAACAAGGAUUCCCCUAGUAACGGCGAGUGAAGCGGGAAGAGCUCAAAUUUGAAAUCUGGUAGCCUUCGGUUGCCCGAGUUGUAAUCUAGAGAAAUGUUUUCCGUGCCGGCCCAUGUACAAGUCCCUUGGAACAGGGCGUCAUAGAGGGUGAGAAUCCCGUCCUUGACAUGGACCCCCGGUGCUUUGUGAUACAUUUUCAACGAGUCGAGUUGUUUGGGAAUGCAGCUCAAAAUGGGUGGUGAAUUCCAUCUAAAGCUAAAUAUUGGCGAGAGACCGAUAGCGAACAAGUACCGUGAGGGAAAGAUGAAAAGCACUUUGGAAAGAGAGUUAAACAGUACGUGAAAUUGUUGAAAGGGAAACGAUUGAAGUCAGUCAUGCUCUUUGGUAUUUAUAUCAUUGAGUGGGGUCAACAUCAGUUUUGAUCGAUGGAUAAAGGCACUAGGAAGGUAGCACUCUCGGGUGAACUUAUAGCCUAGCGUCAUAUACAUUGAUUGGGACUGAGGAACGCAGCAUGCCUUUAUGGCCGGGAUUCGUCCACGUACAUGCUUAGGAUGUUGACAUAAUGGCUUUAAACGACCCGUCUUGAA
rnacentral:rRNA from 1 species